GCACACUCGAGAAUAUCUCGGCAUUUGUAUGUUAUCUCUCUCUUUUUACUUUUUAUGUUUUUAGUAUUAUACCUUUUUUAUCUCUCUCUUUUUACUUUCUAUGUUUUUCUUACUUCUUAUAGAUGUGUGUUUGUUGAGUAUGUAUUUCUUCUUCUAAUUGUAUUUUCUUACUUUUUUGUUAUUAUGAUCUGAAGCAGUUUAGAUGUCGUGUACAUGAAUAUGUACCCCACGAUCCUUU
rnacentral:lncRNA from 1 species